CCUACGGGAGGCAGCAGUGAGGAAUAUUGGUCAAUGGCCGGAAGGCUGACCCAGCCAAGCCGCGUGAAGGAAGAAGGUGUUCAGAAUUGUAAACUUCUUUUGUCAGGGAACAACAACAGGGUCGCGAGCCUGUACGAGUGUACUUGAAGAAAAAGCAUCGGCUAACUCCGGGCCAGCAGCCGCGGUAAUACGGAGGAUGCGAGCGUUAUCCGGUUUUAGUGGGUUUAAAGGGUGGGUAGGGGGACUGUUACGUCAGCGGUAAAAGCCCGGGGCUAAACCCCGAGCAGCCGUUGAAACUAGCUGUCUUGAGUGGGAGAGAGGUAUGCGGAAUGCGCGGUGUAGCGGUGAAAUGCGUAGAUAUUGGGAAGAACACCGGUUGCGAAGGCGGCAUGCUGGCUACUAACUGACGCUGAGGCACGAAAGCGUGGGUAGCGAACAGGAUUAGAUACCCGUGUAGUC
rnacentral:rRNA from 1 species